rnacentral:lncRNA from 1 species
AUCCAGACCUAGAAUUUUGUGGAGCAUUUUAGGCUAGAGAUUGAAAAAUCAACUGGGAUACACGGUGGGGUGGGCAGGUGCUAAAGAAAAAGAUAGAGGUAGGUGAGCUAUCUUUUAACAAUCUAAUUGUGGUCUCAGUCUCUCUCCCUCUCUCCUUUUUUCUUGGAAGGACAGUGUCACAGAUCAAGUUCCCCUGGAAAAAAAGACUCGGAAAUGGAGAUUUGUGUGCAUUCUGUGCAUGGAGGUGCUCUCAGGUCAACACCUGGAAGGGAAGGGGAGGAGGCAGGAUGGGGCAGGAGAAGGCGGGCUGUGAUACUAUCACAACAGACACCUCAGCCCAGCGCACAGGAAGUUCUGGAGCCUGGAUGGCCCUACAGAGGGGUUCCGAAUUGAGGAACAAGGGAUGAGCCUUUGCAUCCAUGUAUCAAGCAGUCACUGACCACGGGCUGCCCCUGGGGACAAAUCAGAUCCAUUCACACAAAGGCAGUUAGGGAUGGAGGAAGUUCAAAACUUAAGCGAGAGUGAGAUGAUGGACCUGCCAGCACGCUAGGCAGCUGGAGGAGCAAGAGCUGCAGUCCUGAAGGCUGGGGUGGAUAUGGGUGCGCACCGGAGCAUUCACCAGAAGAGGUAUGGGGGGUGGGGGUUUUUGUUUGUUUUGUUUCUUCAUUGUGAAAUAUUUCAGAUAUACAAAUGGAGAAUAAUAUGACAAACAUCUGCACAGCCAUAGUCCAGUUAAUAAAUCAGAAUGUUACAAAUUCAGCUGAAUUACACCCUGUGUAGCUUUACCGAAUCCCAUGUUUUCUUUCUUAAAUAUUUACGAAGGACCUUAUAGUCAUUCCUUCACUCAACAAAUAAAUGUUUAUCAGGUACCUACCAUGUUCCAAGCACUGGUCCAUAUCUGGGAAGACAGCAGUUAAAUAGACAAAACCCUGCCCUUGUGAGGCUCACAUUCUAGUCUUCUGUUCUUAGUUCCAAACCAUAGUGGAUGAACAUACAGCAGACCAGUUGGGCAUGAAGUGGUCAGAGAAGGCUGCACAAGGGCAGUGCAGCUGGGCUAACCUCGGAGGAUGAUGCCUAGAAACUCUGGUUCUCCUUUCAAGGUCCAGCUAUGCAUUAGCUUCUUAGAGAAGCCUUCCCAGGACCCUUGGAGAGAUUGCCACUCAUUCCCAAGAACACCUCCAUACACUCAUCACAUUGUUUCUGCAAGUUGUCCUACCAGUUUGUCUUCGUGCUAAGGAGUGAGCUUUUUGACAGCACAAUCUGGGUCAAACCAUGGGCAUCAACAGUUCUUCCAUUAGACUGUAAACUCCUGGAAGGUCUAACCCAUGUCUUGUUCACCAUUACCCAAAGCUGAGCACACAUGGUCAAGUAAUAAAUCUUUGUUGAAUUCAAGGAAGGUAGAAAGUACUUAACAAAUGGUGAAUGAAUAAAUAAAUAAAUGAGUUACAAGUGUUAGGUUAUGAGAGGGAAGUUGAACUGCAUUUUCGAACCACCUAGGGAUUCAUAAUUUUUGACUCACCACCUGUUGAUUAAAAAUUGAAGAGCUAGCCGUCUGAGGGAACCUGAUUUAUGUAAUAUAUUGUGUCUUCUUUGUGACAUGUCUAAUGUUGUAUGGCUCACAGCCAGAUCUUUAAUUGGGCAUCUGUGUUGUUGAAGAUGAUUAUGAUUUACUGACUAUUAAAUAGCAAGUACCGUUGUUUGUCAUUUUAAAAAUGGAAGUAUCAAGGGGCUUCAUAACUAACUCAAUCUUAGCCCACAAAAGAUACGAAAUCUCCCAGUUUACUGCCUUCACCCAGAGACAUUUUCCUUCUUAGCUGACACUCCUUUUUUUGAGCACACUCCAUCAGUAUUAUUUGCAAGUGAGGUCAAGCCAUUUAACUUCAAAUAAAGCCAUCCGGAGCAUAUGACCUUGAGAUUUAAAAGCACAAAAUGAGUACAAAGUGAACAAUCAUUUUAUGCACUUUACGGAUAUCACAGAUCUCUCUUCAAAUCAACAGUCAUCGCAUGGGAUGUUCUCCUGCAACUUCAAAAGGGAAACAUUAGAAGAGCCCAUCAAUCCGUGUUAGCAUGCUUGAAAGCCCUGACUCAGUGCCCAGCUCAUGGUAGGUCCUCACUUGAAUGAAUGAAUGAAGAUUCAUUCCUAUGUUUUGUUACGAUGCUCUGGUAUAUGGCUGCUUUUGACAAUCAUUGUAUCUGUAAGAUUCAUUAUGUUGUUGUGUGUAACAGUAGUUACUGUUGUUGUACUAUCUAAUUUUAGGAAUACACCACAAUUUACUAAUCCACUUGUUUAAAAAGCUAUCUAUCCCUCCCCCAUUGAAUUUCUUUUGUACUUUUGUCAAAAAUCAGUUGGGAACAUUUUGUAUAAAUCUAUUUCUAAAAUUCUCUGUUCUAUUUCAUUGGUCUGCUAGUACCAUACUAUCCUUUCUUAAAUUUAUAUAUUUCCACAAAUAUUUUUUUUUGUCUUUUUUUAGGGCUACACCCAUGGCUUAUGGAGGUUCCCGGAGGGGGUCAGUUCGGAGAAGACUGGUGAAUCCCCAAGAUGCAGGGAUAAAAUAAACCUUGCUGAUUUGAACAUUACUCAUACACAUCCUCAGUAACAUCCAUGUAUUUGAGCAUCUCCAGCCAUCAAAAGUGAGAUCUGGAUUUGGGAGGACCCCAGGGACACAUCUACUUCAUAUUGGUCUCAAUGACCUUGAAAGACAAGGUCAGUGCUGGAAAUUGAAGGCUCCUUAAUGCAAGAGACCUCCCUAGGUAGCUCAGACCAAAUUCAACCAAACUAGCUACAGCUUCUGCUAGGACACAUGAACCAAGCUGCUUCUUACAUUAAGGUAGACACAUUCCAGACCAUGAGACCUAUAUGUUCACCACACUGGUUGAUCAAGGGUGGGGUGUAUAUGAGAGCAGCCAAUUCACUGGUUGACUAAGGACCCAUGCAGUGGCCUGGAGAAAAACACUGCCCCCAAAAGAACAAUGGUAAGUAACUAAGCCAAUCAGAUUCUCUCUUGAGACUUUGUAAGUGGCAAAUGGUAUCAGGUAGUUUUCAUUUGGUUGGUUGAUUGAUUGGCUGUUUUUUUUUUUUUUUUUUUCUUUUGGAGAAGAUGCCAGAAAACACACAAAGAGGAGCAGAAACUUGGGGCUGGCUAGAGUGUGUCCAUGGCAGGGCACCGGAGCGAAGGGCGGAAAGUCAGGCGCAGAAGGGAGAGGAGGUUACCUAUUUCUAGGUCUCCUACUCUUCUCAGUGACUCCAGUUCUCAUUUCUGUGAGGCUCACUGCACAAACACUUCUGGGGUGCUGUGGGUUCCUGCUAUCCUUUAGGUUCUGUGUAUCAUAAAAAAUAACACAACACUAAGGAAAACCGAAAUCAAUCUUUUUCUUGCAACCAAAGAUCUGACCUAAUAUAACAGGUCUUCCCAGGACCCCUAUGGGUCCCUUGGGGCUACAGCACACCAGGAAGAUGCUGCAAAGGCCCAAAACGUGUUCGUGAUCAUAGCACGCAUUUCACAGGACAAGUUUCCUCUGUCAUGUGCUGGGGCAGCAGGAAGAGGCAAUGAGACAUCAGAUCACAGGGAGUGUCUGCUUGAAGCU